rnacentral:rRNA from 1 species
AUUGAACGCUGGCGGCAUGCCUUACACAUGCAAGUCGAACGGCAGCACGGGAGCUUGCUCCUGGUGGCGAGUGGCGAACGGGUGAGUAAUAUAUCGGAACAUGCCCUGAAGUGGGGGAUAACGUAGCGAAAGUUACGCUAAUACCGCAUAUCCUGUGAGCAGGAAAGCAGGGGAUCUUAGGACCUUGCGCUUUAGGAGUGGCCGAUAUCGGAUUAGCUAGUUGGUGAGGUAACGGCUCACCAAGGCGACGAUCCGUAGCGGGUCUGAGAGGAUGAUCCGCCACACUGGAACUGAGACACGGUCCAGACUCCUACGGGAGGCAGCAGUGGGGAAUUUUGGACAAUGGGCGCAAGCCUGAUCCAGCCAUGCCGCGUGAGUGAAGAAGGCCUCGGUUGUAAG